GAGCUGCAAACGACAGCGGGAAGAAGCCAGAGAGCGAGAAGAGUGUGAGAGCGAGCGAUAGAGUGCAAGGAAAGUGAGAGAACCCAGGAGAAAGCGAGAGAUUCCUUUCAGGCAGCGAUAGAAUCACAUUUCUUGCAGCAGGUUGGUGAUAAGGAUGUCAUCUGAGCUGAGAGAUCUGCUCCAUGUUUCGGAUGGGGUUGAAAUCCCAUAUCCCACAUGGAGGGAAGGAUGUGGUCUGCCUUAAUGAGACUGACGCUGCAAGUCUGCUGCAAACCUCUUUAACUACUGUUUCACAGACCCUUGGCACUGAAAAGUGAGAGAACAGCUGAACGGCUGAUUUCUGACUCUGAAGAUUGCGUGCCAUUAGUGUGUUUCACUUGUGGCAGUGAGGGUCCCUUUUCCUGUGGCUCUGAGGACCGCUUAAAGCAAUGGUGUUAAAUAAAAAUCAAUCUCAGAGCAAAACCAUAGACUGCCAAUUCAAUUUGACUCCGAGAUGAAAAGUCUCUCAGCCCUCAAUUUGCAUUCAUUCACUCUAAAUGACUGUGAUUUCUGACACCGUGUGACACGUGUUGGUAAUUUGUGUGUAGG